rnacentral:piRNA from 1 species
UAAAGGGAAUAGACAACAUUGAAGGCGUCUA